AUGAAGUGGUUCAUCUGCUCUUUGAUUAUUUUAAAUCUUGGUCCAUUCGGGGUCCUGUCUGAAGUGCAGUUGGUCCAACCUGGAUCAGAAGUGGUGAAGCUGGGAGAGACCCUGAGGCUGACAUGCACAGUCUCAUUUAAUGAUAGUAGUAAAGGCAUCGAAGACUAUGCUUGGAGCUGGAUCCGGCAGCCUCCUGGGAAAGGCCUGGAAUGGAUGGGACUGAUAGCUCCAUCAGAUGACAGCACAGGUUACGCUCCAGCCUUCCAAUCCCGUAUAACCAUUUCGGCUGAUGCUUCCACAAAUAAGAUCCACCUUCAUCUGAGCUCCAUGGCAGCUGCAGACACGGCCACGUAUUACUGUGCUAGAGAUCCACAGUGA